rnacentral:lncRNA from 1 species
GAACUUUUACAUAACUUGUUGUAUUUAUACCUGAGCAUUUUACCUUUGAGGUAUAUAGUGUAAUUGUUAUGAUUUUUUUUGUUGUUUUAAAUUUUAGAUUUUACCUUUUCAUUGCAAGUAUAUUAGGAAGCAAUCAACUUGUGUAUAUUAACAUUAUAUCCUUCUUUCUUAUUGUAAUUGUUCAUUAGUUACAGAAGUUUUUUUGUUGUUGACUGUUUUGGGACUUCUGCAUAGAAAGUUACAUCAUCUGUGAGAAAAGGCAGUUUUAUUUUUUUUCUUUCCAAGUUAUACACCUUGUAUUUUUUUCUUGUCUUAUUUUAUUGUCUAGAACUAGAACUAGUCUUAGUUCUAAAAUGGUUAGGGGGGAUAUAUUUGAUUCUUGACUUCUUUGUGAUCUCAGUAGAAAAAUUCUAGUUUGUCACUAUUAAAUGUGAUGUUGGCUGUGAAUUUUUAUUUUUAUCAAGUUGAGAAAGUUCUCUAUUUCUAACUUAAUGAUUUUUUUUAAAAAUCAGAAAUGAAUAUUGGGUUUUGUCAAAUUCUUUCUCUGCUUCUAUGAUAUAAUCGUGAUAUUUUUUUCUUUAGACUACUGAUUUGGUGCGGUAUAAUAAUUUAUUUUUCAGUGUUGAAUUAACCCUGAAUAUCUGAAAUAAAUAAAUUCCACUUGGUUAUGGUGUAUAAUUUAUUGUUAGAUUAAACUUGCUAUUUUUUCCCAUAUGUAUGUCUGAGAUAUAUCAGUCUGUAGUCUUAUUUUCUUACGAUGUCUUUGUUCAUUUUGGCAUUAUGGUAAAAGUUACCAUAUCACAUAAGUUAGGAAAUAUCUUUCUACUGUCAUAUUCGGGAAGUUAUUGAAUAAAAUUUGUAUAAUACUGACCUUAAAA